ACCUAAUAAUGAAGGAUUGGAUAAUUAGACAAUCCUAACUCAUUUACGUAUACAACGCCGAUGAAUUAAACGCAUUUGAAAUAGUAAUAUGUCGUAUCAAAAACAGUAGAAGUCGCGAUCAUGAUUUUCCCGCUCAGUAGGUGUGGAGCGCUUGCGCGGCGACAAGUUGGGGUCCAACUUCGAAUCGCCUUGUUCCUCUCCGUGUCUCACUGUGAGUUUGACUGUACCUAAUAAUACCGAAUCCUGAAUGUUGUCAUAAAUAACCAAAGGAUUCUGCCUCAAUCCCGUAUAUAACGCCGCUGAAUUAAACGCAUGAAAAAUUUCGGUAUGUCGUAUUAGUCUAUGCAAGUCGCGAGAUCUAGCGCGCCUUCACUUUGCCCCUGAUUGGUGCGGCCAUAUUGUAAUAAUAAUACCGAGCUAUUGCGCGGCGACGCCAUUCCUACGUUGAACUUUGAGAAGUCUAGUUGUUCUCCGUAUCUCGCUGUGAAUUUGACUGGACCUAAUAAUACCGAAUCCCGUGUCUUGUCAUAAAUCACCGAAGGAUUCUGUCUCAAUCCCGUGUAUAACGCCGCUGAAUUAAACGCAUGAAAAAUGGCGGUAUGUCGUAUUUGUCGGUGCAAAGUCGCGUGAUCCAGCGCGCCGCUACGCGGCCCCUGAUUGGUCCGCUUAGUAGAACAAGGGAGCUAGUAUCAGUACAGAGCGCUUCCCCACGACGCAAGUUCAACAUUAAACUUCGGACUAUCUGCUUCGUCUCCGCUAAAUUCGUUGCUAAUUCUAAUCAUGCGCUGUAAUAUCAGAUCUUAAGACCAGUGACAAAUGGGCACACAGUGAUUUAAACAAUCCUAUCUCAUCUGGGUGUAAAAUUGGCUUAAUAAAACUUGUAACAGUGGUGAUGCAGGACGCAACAAGUCGAGCCGGUAGCCAUUGUGAAUCAUUUUUGAAUUCUUGUCGCAACUCGAGUAUCUCCGCGGUGUACUUAAAGUGCAUAAUCAGUGCAUACAAAUGGCUGGAAGCAUUAGCACCAGAUCUCCACGCUUCUGGCUACAUGAAUUAAACCCAGAGUCCGCAGGACACAGCAGGGAAAAAUCUCAAAGCUACCUAACCUGUUCAGUAGACUUCGGAAAGAAAAAUGCAGAUAAUACUGUUCUCGCUGGGUGAUCUCGGUAAUUGGAAUUUUCCGAAAGAAUCCGAUAGUUAGUCCAACCGGAUGUCUAAUAUUCGCAAGACUCAGGAAAAAUUGACAAUCGUUUCUACUGCAUCCGAUGUAGUCACCUCGUCCAUAGCUGAUCAUCGAUCAUCCACAUAAAGUGGGAAAUCUUGCAUCGUUCUUCGUGGGAGCAUCUCAUCCAUACAACGUUUCAACCUACUACACAGCUAUAGCCAUCAGGGAGGCAGAGACAUCCAGGUAAAAUCCAAGACCCCCAAGACCUGGGAACCGGCUAGGGUCCGGUCUUGGUGCUGGCAGCGAUGGUGAGUCCCAGCACUCAAAGUUCCUCGACUUCUUUGCCAGCUCACACGAUGGUGAACGCUGGCAUCGGGUCGUUGUAUUUUAUAUUGUGUCAUUCCUCUGUUCCCUUUUUGUAAAAUGGCGUGGCGGUACCCUGAAUUGCAAUUUUAUUAGAUCAGGUAAUUGUAGGGUUGGUUGCUGUUGAGCAUAGCGCACGUGCACCCUUUAGCGUCAAACAUAUAAAACUCUUCCUUGAAAUUAAUCAGUCAAAAAACCAAUGAAUGAUUAAGUCAGUCAGUCAGUUUAUUAAUUAGUCAAUCAGUUAUUUGAGCAAUCAGUCAACUAUUAGUUCAUCGAAUAUGAACUAUUCAGAUAAAUCACAUCUUAGAUAAAUUUAAGUGCAAGAGUGUGCAGCUCAUAGGCAACGGUAAAGGCCGUCGUUCAAUCGACUCUCGCGUUUUAUAAAUUUCCUAUAAUUUUCGGUGACCGAUCUCGUUUGCGUCGAUCACUGAUCAGUAAUAAAAUUUUGUCGUGCGAAUAAUGGUCAUUACCAUAGAUUCAGCUUUUUCAGGUACAUCAGGAAUUGACUUGGAUAGCUUCCGCGAGUAGUCAGAAUUCAUUUAGUCUCAAUUUAAUGAUCAGCCAUCAGCUGAAUCAAUUUUGAAUUCGAUCUCUAUAUUUUUUUAUCUAUUUGCAUGUUUAAAAUUUCAAUUCUUUCAACUCAAUUUUGAUCAAACUUGAACCCGUCUUUAGGUACCGAUAAGUAAAUUCACUAGAACUAUAACAGGAUGUCUAAUCAUUUCAGGAAUUUUCUUCCCUUACACACAAUUUUCAGCCCUUAACUUUUUCUUGCUUAAUGAAUAUUAUAUGAGAUUAAUUAAUCUCAUUUUCUUACUGAUGAUAUUUACUCAAGAGUAAAUUUACUAAAUUCAUCUAAAGAUCAUUAAUGUUUUUUAAAUUUCGGCCAGAUAGCAAACACACCUUUUCUCAAAAUUUAAAUAAAUUACGGCUUCGGCCGGGGCAUGGGCAGCCUUUAUAUUUCUACACACACAACAGGUCAACAGUAAGUUUUUUGAACGAGAUACCACGGCAAUGAAUGUGAGAUGUGAGUGAGACGAAAUUCUCGGUGCGCCGGCGCAAGUAUGAAUUGGGGUUUUCGUCAGUAAAAUCAUUUCUUGGAUAAUUAUAGGUGAAAGGCAGGUAUAGGUAAAUUCAUGCAUCGCGAGGGCAUUUAUAAGCAGUGUGUAUGUGAAUAAUAGUUUUAACCGUUGGGUGGGAUGUGGGCUCCACAAAAUGGGUAGGCAAGAAAUCGGAAGCGCAACUUUUCUUUCCACAGCAAUUCCAAGUGAUCAAUUGAGUAGAGUUAAUCAAAUUGCGUUAGCUAAUUUUCUGCAACAUUUUAUUUGACAUUUUUCUAAUAAUUUUUUUCGUGUUGUCUUUUAGAUCUCUUUUCUGAGAUCUGAUAGAUAUUUUUCCUUCCCAACCAAACAAUUCCAAUUAGAUUGAGUUUUUAUCUUUCCUGUAAUAUUUGGGGUCACUUGGAAUGGGCGAAAUGCGUCCGCCUUGCUCUCCGUACCAGCCGUGGUGCAUGGAAGUGAGGUGGACGUUGAGCUCGAAGACUUCGCGUCGAAGAGGAUCGCCGACCGCCACGUCAAAAAUUUGUAAACCCUUCCCCUUUCCUCUCCCAAAUGCUAAUUGGAAUAGGAGGAUGCGAUUAAAAAUUGCAUUUCUUCGAUUUCCAUUAGCAUGAAUAUUCCAACUCCGACGCUGCUCGCGCGGGUAUAGCGCGAGGACGAGGAAUCGCAUGUUAUGUAUUAGUAUAUGUAUGUAUUUCAUUUUUUGUAUGCGUGACUUGCCAUCUUGCAAGGCGCAUUAAAAACUUGACUUGAGAGAUUUUUUUUCAGGGAUUUAAAGUGAAAUAAAAACCCAAGUUUCGUCGCUGCUGCUCGUAUGCGCGCGAACUUGGCGCUUAAAACAUUUAUUGCAACGCUUUAUGCGUUUUAAACCCAACAACCGAAAAAUUGUAAGGAAUCAAGUACUAUCGCACCUUUUUGUGCGUGGUAUUUGACUUCCACGGGAUUAUUUGUCAGAUACUAAUCAACAUUUUACCUUCCAGAUUAAUAAAUUUUCUUACAGGUCCUAAUCAUUAUUUCUUAUUUUCAGUUUGAUUACUAAUGAAAAUUUUCUUACAGAUGUUAGGUUUUAGUCUUUACUUUUAUUGUUAAUCAGAUCUUAUUCACAGGCUGUCCCUGGCUACUAAUAUGCAGUCUGCUUUCUGAUUUCAGGAUCCGAAGUCUCGGAAAACUCUCCAAGUUUUCUUACAGAUCCUGGAUGUCAUCGUACUAAUCAAAUGUUGUUCGCAGGCUGUCCCUGGCUACUAAUAUGCAGUUUGCUUUCUGAUUUCAGGAUCCGAAGUCUCGGAAAACUCUCCAAGUUUUCUUACAGAUCCUGGAUGUCAUCGUACUAAUCAAAUUUUGUUCGCAGGCUGUCCCUGGCUACUAAUAUGCAGUUUGCUUUCUGAUUUCAGGAAUCAGCACCUCGUAUACCUUCUACUUCAAUAUCUAAUUUGGGAAAUCGGACGGAUCGUCAUCGCCUCAAAGGGUUCAUAACAUUUUAAAUUUCUGUUUCAGUAAUCAGAAGAAUACUUCUCGGAUUGUGGAGGUCGUGGCGUACAUCAGGAUCCAGAAAUUUUGGCAGCUGAAAUUAUUUUACCUAGCAACGAUCAUUUUUUAUCUUUACAGAAACUUUCUCUCUAUAUGCUAAUGAUAUGUUUGUUACACUUGUUUGUAUGUUUCAGAUCUCGAGUUUAAUCAAUUAAUUGACAAAUGAUUUCUCUCUUUUCAGCAAUGGUACCGUUGCAACCCAUAUAUUUCUUACUGUUUUAUGCUAUUGAUUAUUUGUUUGAUAAUGAUGUUUACUUAUAAGAUGAUUGAGAAUGAUGAUGUUUAUCUAUUUGUCUGUUGUGUUUCGUGUUUCAUGUCAUUUAUGUAGUGUUUCAUGUACGUACAUGUUUUGUGUGUAACUUUGUGUAAUUGACUUGCGCAAGUUUUAAUUGGCCAUAUAUCCAUAAGAUUUUUAUUCAUGCAAUGUUCGUCUAUCUGUGUCAUUCAUAAUGCAAAUGCCAUGUCUAAAUUUAAGACCACUGUGUAUUACCACGUCUUUAUUAUGAUAUAAAGUAUUUGUUAUAUCUUUUUUUUUUCUAUUUGUAUGUUCCAGAUUUUUCUUUGCCAGAUGCGGGAAGCUGAGCUGCUAGUGGUUUGCAUAGGGCUCUCGGCACAGUAUGUAGAAUAUAUAAUGUAUUACAUAUUCUACAAACUGUACUUUUGGCGAUCGU